CUAGUGGUGAUUCAGUGGUAAAAUUCUCACGUUACAUGUGGGAAAUCUGGGUUUGAUUCCUAGCCAAUGCA
rnacentral:tRNA from 1 species